AAAGACACAGCGCAGCAAACACAGGAGAGGGACGCACAGUUGAAGUGCGUUUUUGUGAAAUGAUUUCAUGUUAUUGACAGCCGGACUUGAUUUUGUUUAUUCUUAUCCCUCUCUGUGGCGGAAUAGUUAAAGUCUGAUUGGGAAAUGUCCUGUAACGUGGAUUGAAAAUGUAAAAUCAAGGCAGCACAGCUCUGACAGAAACUUCAAGGAGGCUCAGCCUUUCUUUAAAAGAAAGAAGCGAUGCACGAGAUGAGCGUAAUGCAAGAGCACUGAGUCCAGCCAGUGGGACGGCAGAUGGAGGCAUCACAACAGACUGCAUUAAUACUUAAUACCAUGCAACAUCGCUGAUGCAUCCUUUUAAACGGUUCAAAAGACACUAAAAUGUCCCAGGCCCCAUAAUGCCACAUCAAUACCACAGUAGGGAGGAGGCACCACACCAAUGUAAACACCCAGGUCGACCUCGUUUUGCUCCCUGUGACCGACGCCGGAGAAGAAAACGUAGCACAAAAGAAUGAUGAAAAAGAAUACAACAAAGGCCCCACACUGUGACAUGCUAACCCCUUUCAAAUGCCCGACCAUCACUGGGAACAAUCACUCUCAAGAUUUAAGUCCACUGUACAUGCUGAUGAAUACCCAAACCCUCCCUAAGGGACGGAGUGGCGCAUCUGGUUAACAAGCUCUGUCCUCAGCCAGAGCCUUAGCGGUGGGCUGUGGUCACAGGCCUUCCAGAUGGACCCUGGUGCUGGAUGAGUGAUGCUUCAUAGCUGGCCUGGGUUCUGCUAAGGCCCCCUCUUAGCCAACUCUUAUCACAGCCCAGACAAGGUCCAGGACCAGAGGGAACCAUGUUUUUCCUCUUGUAAAGAAAAUGUGUCUAUUGCUUCCCCCACAGGUUCUUUGUCUCUGUAGAUUUGUAAUGUGUAUAUAUGUAUUAACGUGAUUAUUUAAAAGAAGUUAUGUCUUUACACAUAUCAUCCACUUCACAAACACCUCAUCCAUUGCUACCUGUCUGUGCAAAUUUAUUUAUGCUUAUUGCUUAAGCUGCAACCUAGUGGCUUGACCCACUAUGCUGGCAUGCUAAUUGUGCAGAACCACUGAGGCAGAAUAUAUGCAAUGUCAGACUAAAAAUGGAAACAUAGCGAAACAAGUUGAAAAUUAUUUCUGUUACCAGGAAAAUCUUUUACUCUUUACUCAUGAAAAAAAUAAUGUUUCAUAAGCAAGUGCUGUUUUUAACAGAGGCUUAACUAGUACCUAUCUGCCCUCAAACACAGCUGUAAGACCUAAUAUAUAUUUAGAUUGCAUCUCCCCGAUUUCUCUUCAAGAAUUGACCGCAGUGAUUUCUUCAUCUACAUCAUCAACCUGUCUCUUAGACCCCAUCACUAGGUUACUUAAUAAGGAAGUCUUACCUUUAGUUAACACUCAUAUUAGAUAUGAUCAAUAUAUCCUUAUUAACAGGCUAUGUACCACAGUCUUUUAAGGUAGCUGUAAUGAAACCUCUACUUAAAAAGUCCACCCUGGAUCCAGAGGUGUUAGCCAACUAUAGACCAAUAUCUAAUCUUCCCUUUAUGUCAAAGAUCCUUGAGAAAGUAGUCGCAGACCAGCUGUGUGAUUUUCUCCAAGAUAAUAAUUUAUUUGAGGAAUUUCAGUCUUGAUUUAGAGUGCAUCAUAGCACUGAGACAGCACUAGUUAAAAUUACAAAUGAUCUUCUGAUUGCUUCAGACAAAGGACUCGUCUCUGUACUUGUUUUAUUAGAUCUUAGUGCGGCGUUUGACACAAUUGACCAUCAAAUUCUGCUACAGAGACUGGAAGACUUAAUUGGCCUUAAAAGUUCUGCACUAAGCUGGUUUAAAUCUUAUUUAUCUGAUCGUUUUCAGUUUGUUCACGUUCAUAAUGAAUCGUCCUUACGUACCAAAGUUUGUUUUGGAGUUCCACAAGGUUCUGUGCUCGGACCAAUCCUAUUUACUCUAUAUAUGCUUCCUUUAGGUAACAUCAUCAGAAAUCACUGUAAAUUUCCAUUGUUAUGCAGAUGAUACACAGUUGUAUUUGUUGUUGUAUUUUUGAAGCCAGAAGAAAGUAAUCAAUUAACUAAACUUCAUAAUUGCCUAAAAGACAUAAAAACCUGGAUGAGCACCAAUUUCCUUAUGUUAAAUUCAGACAAAACUGAAGUUAUUGUUCUUGGCCCCAAACACCUCAGAGACUCUUUAUCUGAUGACAUAGUUUCUCUGGAUGGCAUUGCUCUGGCCUCUAGCACUACCGUAAGAAACCUCGGAGUAAUAUUUGAUCAAGAUUUGUCUUUUAAUUUUCAUUUAAAACAAACCUCACGGACUGCAUUUUUUCAUCUGUGUAAUAUUGUGAAAAUUAGGCCUAUCCUGACCCGAAAAGAUGCAGAAAAAUUGGUCCACGCUUUUGUUACCUCAAGGCUGGAUUACUGUAACUCUCUGUUAUCAGGUAGCUCUAGUAAGUCCUUAAAAACUCUCCAGCUAAUUCAGAAUGUAACUUAUAUCGCAGCGGUGCCUGGAUAGUGUGACGCGUGUGGUUGUGCUGCUGCCGUGGUUCUGCCAGAUGCCUCCUACUGCUGCUGUUAUCAUUAGUCAUACUUCUACUGUUAUUAUACACAUAUGAUUAUUGUCACAUAUGUAUACUAUCAGAUAUUAAUAUAAUAUAAUAUGUUGAAAGUAUAUAACUAUAAUAUUAUUACUUUCAUUAAUGUUGUUGUAAGCUACUGUCAUUACCAUCUGUCCUACAUCUCUCUCUCUGUCUAUCUGUCUCUGUCUCUCUCUCUGUCUCAUUGUGUCAUACGGAUUACUGUUAAUUUAUUAUGCUGAUCUGUUCUGUACGACAUCUAUUGCACGUCUGUCCAUCCUGGAAGAGGGAUCCCUCCUCAGUUGCUCUUCCUGAGGUUUCUACCAUUUUUUCCCCCGUUAAAGGUUUUUUUGGGGGAGUUUUCCUUAUCCGCUGUGAGGGUCAUAAGGACAGAGGGAUGUCGUAUGCUGUAAAGCCCUGUGAGGCAAAUUGUGAUUUGUGAUAUUGGGCUUUAUAAAUAAAACUGAUUGAUUGAUUAACUGCUGGGCACAAGAUAACUCCUACUUUACUGAAAAGUCCAUUGCCACUGUGUGUGACCUGUAGGUAUCAUGUU